rnacentral:rRNA from 1 species
CCUACGGGGGGCAGCAGUGAGGAAUAUUGGUCAAUGGACGAGAGUCUGAACCAGCCAAGUAGCGUGAAGGAUGAAUGCCCUAUGGGUUGUAAACUUCUUUUAUAUGGGAAUAAAAUGUUCCACGUGUGGGAUUCUGUAUGUACCAUAUGAAUAAGGAUCGGCUAACUCCGUGCCAGCAGCCGCGGUAAUACGGAGGAUCCGAGCGUUAUCCGGAUUUAUUGGGGUUAAAGGGAGCGUAGGUGGAUUGUCAAGUCAGUUGUGAAAGUUUGCGGCUCAACCGUAAAAUUGCAGUUGAAACUGGCCGUCUUGAGUACAGUAGAGGUGGGCGGAAUUCGUGGUGUAGCGGUGAAAUGCUUAGAUAUCACGAAGAACUCCGAUUGCGAAGGCAGCUCGCUGGACUGCAACUGACGCUGAGGCUCGAAAGUGUGGGUAUCAAACAGGAUUAGAUACCCGUGUAGUC